CCUACGGGUGGCUGCAGUGAGGAAUAUUGGUCAAUGGACGAGAGUCUGAACCAGCCAAGUAGCGUGAAGGAUGACUGCCCUAUGGGUUGUACACUUCUUUUAUAUGGGAAUAAAAUGUUCCACGUGUGGGAUUUUGUAUGUACCAUAUGCAUAAGGAUCGGCUAACCCCGUGCCAGCAGCCGCGGUAAUACGGAGGAUCCGAGCGUUAUCUGGAUUGAUUUGGUUUAAAGAGAACGUAGGUGGAUUGGUAAGUCAGUUGUGAAAGUGUCCGGCUCAACCGUAAAAUUGCAGUUGAUACUGGCAGGCUUGAGUACAGUAGAGGUGGGCGGAAUUCGUGGUGUAGCGGUGAAAUGCUUAGAGAUCACGAAGAACUCCGAUUGCGAAGGCAGUUCACUGGACUGCAACUGACACUGAGGCUCGAAAGUGUGGGUAUCAAACAGGAUUAGAUACCCUGGUAGUC
rnacentral:rRNA from 1 species